AACGCACAUUGCGCCCUCUGGUAUUCCGGAGGGCAUGCCUGUUCGAGCGUCAUUAUCAACCCUCAAGCUCGGCUUGCUGUUGGGUCUCGCCGUUGCAGAACGGCGGAUCCCCAAAGAUAAUGGCAGAGUCUGUAAGACCCUGGAUGCAGCGAGCUUCUAGCACGCAUCCGGACGGUGUUCAGGCUUGGUCUUAACCCACACAAUCUUCUGGUUGACCUCGGAUCAGGCAGGGAUACCCGCUGAACUUAA
rnacentral:misc_RNA from 1 species